GACAGGAGGAAGUCUGGAAGAGAUUCGAAGAGUAGUUGAUCACUGUAGAAAAUUGACAGAUAGUGAAGCUCAGAGAGCAUUUGGAGCAGUCUGAUAGACGACUGAAGGAGCUCAUUAUUGGAGAAGUCUGGAGGGUACGGUAGGAGUUCAUCUAUUGGAGGAAUUUGGAUGGUAUUGUGGAAGCUCGGACGGUCGGGGGAGUUCAGAAGGAUGCCA
rnacentral:lncRNA from 1 species